AGGGUUCGAUUCUGGCUCAGGAUGAACGCUGGCGGCGUGCUUAACACAUGCAAGUCGAACGGGAUCCAUCAGGCUUUGCUUGGUGGUGAGAGUGGCGAACGGGUGAGUAAUGCGUGACCGACCUGCCCCAUACACCGGAAUAGCUCCUGGAAACGGGUGGUAAUGCCGGAUGCUCCGACUCCUCGCAUGGGGUGUCGGGAAAGAUUUCAUCGGUAUGGGAUGGGGUCGCGUCCUAUCAGGUAGUCGGCGGGGUAACGGCCCACCGAGCCUACGACGGGUAGCCGGCCUGAGAGGGCGACCGGCCACAUUGGGACUGAGAUACGGCCCAGACUCCUACGGGAGGCAGCAGUGGGGAAUAUUGCACAAUGGGCGCAAGCCUGAUGCAGCGACGCCGCGUGCGGGAUGACGGCCUUCGGGUUGUAAACCGCUUUUGAUCGGGAGCAAGCCUUCGGGUGAGUGUACCUUUCGAAUAAGCACCGGCUAACUACGUGCCAGCAGCCGCGGUAAUACGUAGGGUGCAAGCGUUAUCCGGAAUUAUUGGGCGUAAAGGGCUCGUAGGCGGUUCGUCGCGUCCGGUGUGAAAGUCCAUCGCUUAACGGUGGAUCUGCGCCGGGUACGGGCGGGCUGGAGUGCGGUAGGGGAGACUGGAAUUCCCGGUGUAACGGUGGAAUGUGUAGAUAUCGGGAAGAACACCAAUGGCGAAGGCAGGUCUCUGGGCCGUUACUGACGCUGAGGAGCGAAAGCGUGGGGAGCGAACAGGAUUAGAUACCCUGGUAGUCCACGCCGUAAACGGUGGAUGCUGGAUGUGGGGCCCGUUCCACGGGUUCCGUGUCGGAGCUAACGCGUUAAGCAUCCCGCCUGGGGAGUACGGCCGCAAGGCUAAAACUCAAAGAAAUUGACGGGGGCCCGCACAAGCGGCGGAGCAUGCGGAUUAAUUCGAUGCAACGCGAAGAACCUUACCUGGGCUUGACAUGUUCCCGACAGCCGUAGAGAUAUGGCCUCCCUUCGGGGCGGGUUCACAGGUGGUGCAUGGUCGUCGUCAGCUCGUGUCGUGAGAUGUUGGGUUAAGUCCCGCAACGAGCGCAACCCUCGCCCUGUGUUGCCAGCACGUCAUGGUGGGAACUCACGGGGGACCGCCGGGGUCAACUCGGAGGAAGGUGGGGAUGACGUCAGAUCAUCAUGCCCCUUACGUCCAGGGCUUCACGCAUGCUACAAUGGCCGGUACAACGGGAUGCGACACGGCGACGUGGAGCGGAUCCCUGAAAACCGGUCUCAGUUCGGAUUGGAGUCUGCAACCCGACUCCAUGAAGGCGGAGUCGCUAGUAAUCGCGGAUCAGCAACGCCGCGGUGAAUGCGUUCCCGGGCCUUGUACACACCGCCCGUCAAGUCAUGAAAGUGGG
rnacentral:rRNA from 1 species